rnacentral:rRNA from 1 species
UCCUACGGGAGGCAGCAGUGGGGAAUAUUGGACAAUGGGCGAAAGCCUGAUCCAGCCAUGCCGCGUGUGUGAAGAAGGUCUUCGGAUUGUAAAGCACUUUAAGUUGGGAGGAAGGGCAGUAAGUUAAUACCUGCUGUGUGACGUACCAACAGAUAGCCCCGACGCCCA